UCCGCGGGGCGCCCUGGGAGCCUCCGCUGGCGGCGCCGGGGAGCGGGCGCUCGCCGGCACCGCUGACCUGUUGAAAGACCCGGGCGCGUCGGGGCUCCCUUUGUCCCCCUCGCUUAUUUUCCCUCUUUUCUUCCCGCCGGGGGAACUCUGCUCCCCAGACCGUGGCGCGGCUUCCUCCACGCCCUUUCCUCCUCCUCUUCCUCCGUGAUUCUAGGAUCCGCUGCCCGGGGCCGGGAGCGGUUUCCCUCGGAGCCCCCGGCCGCCGCCCGCGCUGGAGCCGGGGGCGCCUCCGCCCUCCCGCAGGAGCUGCCGCGGGCGCCGGGCUUGCCCGUCUCCUCCCGCGGCGGUGGGGCGGCCCCGGGAGGGCUGCGGCCCCUCGGCGGCGCGGUCCCCCCGGGCUGCCGGGCCGCCACCAUGUCGAAAGCGGCGGCGGAAAGUGUCGGGGCGGCGCCGGCCGAGGACUUGUCCAAGGUGUCGGACGAGGAGCUGCUCAAGUGGAGCAAGGAGGAGCUGAUCCGCAGCCUCCGCCGCGCCGAGGCCGAGAAGAUGAGCGCGAUGCUGGACCACAGCAACCUCAUCCGCGAGGUGAACCGCCGCCUCCAGCUCCACCUCGGCGAGAUCCGCGGCCUGAAGGAUAUCAACCAGAAGCUGCAAGAAGAUAACCAAGAACUGAGAGACCUUUGCUGCUUCCUGGAUGACGACAGGCAGAAAGGCAAGAAAGUGUCCCGCGAGUGGCAGAGGCUGGGCAGGUACAGCGCUAGUGUUAUGCACAAAGAGGUUGCCUUAUACUUACAGAAGCUGAAAGAACUGGAAGUGAGGCAGGAAGAGGUGGUUAAAGAAAACCUGGAGCUGAAAGAACUGUGCGUGUUGCUGGAUGAGGAGAAAAGUGGUGGAGCAGGCAGCCGGAGCUCUAUCGACAGCCAGAUCAGCCUGUGCCAGUUAACCGCGGCGAGUACUUACAUCCGAGACGUCGGUGACGGGAGCAGUACUUCCAGCACAGGGAGUACAGACAGUCCAGACCAUCAUAAACAUCACCCAAGUACCAGUCCGGAACAUCUGCAAAAGUCUCGGGGAGAAGGCAGCCCUGAGCAUCAGAAGCACAGGAGUGUCAGCCCAGAGCACCUCCAGAAGCCUAGGAGUUCUGGCAGUCCUGAUCAUCACCUGAAAGGACCAAGUCCGGAACAUCACAAAAGCAUUGUCAAAGCACCUGAACAACAAAAGCACAGCAGCAGCAGCCCAGAAACUCUUCCAAAGCAUGUUCUGAGUAGUAGCCCUGAACACUUCCAAAAGCAGAGGCCCGGUAGCAGCCCUGAGCAUCAAAAGCACAGCAGUGGCAGCCCAGAUCACCUUCAAAAGCACACGCCGAGCGGAAGCACGGAACAUCUCCACAAAGUGAGGGGUACGAGCCCUGAGCAUCUCAAACAACACUAUGGAGGGAGCCCGGAGCACCUCAAACAUCUCAGUGGGGGCAGCAGAGAAGGUACCCUCAGGAGACAAGUAACAGAUGAGCUGUCACCUCACCACAGAAGUAUAUACAAUGGAAUGAAUGCUCUCCAACCACCGAGACCAAAGGCUCUGCAGUCUUAACUAAACAGCAGAAGAUACCAGAAUCUGUGUCUCUUCCAGGUACAGGUGCUAAGAAAUUUUUGAUUUCUUCCUUGCUUUUGGAAUACUGCUCUGCACUCCAGUCAAUACUGCUGCUCCAUUUUGACAGCUUGCAACCAUAGCAUGUGCAAAUAUUUUGGAGAACUAGGAGGACAAAAAGCAUCCUGAGCAUACUAAAAGAAACCUUAACUUCAGCAUUAAGGCAUUGGUAUUUGCAUAUUUUGCCUUCUCUAUAAAAGUAAAAAUAUGGAAAGAUUUCUUAACCUUUUAGAGCGUAUUAUAAAGUUGUAUGCAGGCUGAUAAAAAUGAAUUACUGGAUUGCCUGACGGCAUGGAAGUGACUGAUCAGACUGUCUUGGAGGCUUGGAUCUCAGAGUUUUAUCCUCUCAAGUCACUCCGUCGUCCUGGUUUUGUGAGGAAUGAGCUGGAUGGUGCUGACUCCUUGUAUUGAUCACGCUACUGCAAUUGCCUCCAGGUGCGGACCCGUGGAAUACUGAAAAGAUGCUUGGGGAAGUCUGAAAAGAGACGUAGCACAAAAGGACCCGCUUGACCCUUUUUCAUGAUAACUCUACAACAAUCCAAAUUAAACAAAGUGUAUUGUACUUAAAUGACAAGUCGGCGCUUAUCAGCUGCCACCUGGAAACGUGCACUUCAGGCGCUGAAGCUAAGAGUUGUGUGGAGGAAACUUGGAGAUGCUGCAGGGUCGUGCCCUGGAAUUAGACAACAUUUGUCAGGAAAUCAGUAUAAAGGACCUAUGUAAAAGGCCCUGAGCAAGUCCUCUCUCUGAGUUUGAACUGCCCGAGAGAGAAAGAGCUGACUGUGUCCGCAGCGACCUGCCGGCUGAUGACGGGGCAUCUCUAUGCACUGCACGGGACUUCGCUGGAAGCCAGCAGAGGUUCUGCAGAGGGGUCUUUCAGAGGAGCCGUGCUGUCGGCGUUCCCCAAUACCGCUGUUCCGAUGUACUGGCUCGUGAAACGCUGCUGCCGCAUCGACGCUUCAACACACCACACGUAGAAGCACGGAGGUAUUUGCAUCCUAACUAAAAGAUAAUUGGGAUUCUGCAGGAGUUACGUGAAAUAAGUUUUAUUUUGGUUGGUUACAGUGAAUCUCUAGUUAAAGCCUGAACGAAUUUUGCCACUGGAUUUAACAGAGGUUUUUCACCAGGCUGGAGAGACGUUGAUAAACUGUGCCUUUGGUCUCCGCAGUUUUGAGAAAGUCACUUCUUAGUAACUCACACUUCAGUCUCGAAAAUAUUGGUUAAUGGUGCUUAGGCAAUUUCCAGAUGAUUUUUUUGCUUUGGUAGAAUACCUGCCUUUGGAGGUGCUAAAAGACCAUCCAGUCUCCUAACCAGCCAGUAGUGUAGCAUAACUACAGUACUUGUAGUGAACCGCAAUUUCUUUCUAAAUGAAAGUAAAGAUAGCUUUCUUUUUGAUUCACUUUGAUGCACAUCUUCUGAAGACGUGUGCGAUGUUUGCAGCCCUUUAAUGAACAGGAUACUUAGGCAUCACUAUCAUAGGUCUCAAAUCAGAAUUUCCAUCAGAGGGGUUUUUUUGAAAGUAUUUUCCAGUUGUCAGGAUGCUAAUUUCUACUGUUUAAUUUAGAGACGUGCUGGUUUAUUUAACAAGAGUCUACAAGGAUUUAAAAGAUUGCACUGCAUUAUAAAAAAGCUUUUCUUGCCACUGUAGCGUUCUUUCAAAGGAAAAGGUUUUAU